rnacentral:rRNA from 1 species
AGAGUUUGAUCCUGGCUCAGGAUGAACGCUAGCGGCAGGCUUAACACAUGCAAGUCGAAGGGCAACGGGGAGAGUGCUUGCACUCUCUGCCGGCGACUGGCGCACGGGUGAGUAACACGUAUGCAACCUGCCCUCCACAGGGGGACAACCUUCCGAAAGGGAGGCUAAUCCCGCGUAUAUCCCUUGGGGGCAUCCUUGGGGGAGGAAAGGAUUACCGGUGGAGGAUGGGCAUGCGGCGCAUUAGGCAGUAGGCGGGGUAACGGCCCACCUAACCGACGAUGCGUAGGGGUUCUGAGAGGAAGGUCCCCCACACUGGUACUGAGACACGGACCAGACUCCUACGGGAGGCAGCAGUGAGGAAUAUUGGUCAAUGGGCGGGAGCCUGAACCAGCCAAGCCGCGUGAAGGAAGAAGGCGCCAAGCGUCGUAAACUUCUUUUGUCGGGGAACAAAGGGCGCCACGUGUGGCGUUGUGAGUGUACCCGAAGAAAAAGCAUCGGCUAACUCCGUGCCAGCAGCCGCGGUAAUACGGAGGAUGCGAGCGUUAUCCGGAUUUAUUGGGUUUAAAGGGUGCGUAGGCGGUCCGGAAAGUCAGCGGUAAAAGCCCGGGGCUCAACCCCGGCGAGCCGUUGAAACUGUCGGACUAGAGACGGCGAGAAGUACGCGGAAUGCGCGGUGUAGCGGUGAAAUGCAUAGAUAUCGCGCAGAACUCCGAUUGCGAAGGCAGCGUACCGGCGCCGGACUGACGCUGAGGCACGAAAGCGUGGGUAUCGAACAGGAUUAGAUACCCUGGUAGUCCACGCAGUUAACGAUGAAUGCCGGCUGUCCGGCCCGGAAAAGGGCUGGGUGGCGAAGCGAAAGCGAUAAGCAUUCCACCUGGGGAGUACGCCGGCAACGGUGAAACUCAAAGGAAUUGACGGGGGCCUGCACAAGCGGAGGAACAUGUGGUUUAAUUCGAUGAUACGCGAGGAACCUUACCCGGGCUUGAAAGUUAGCGACGACGCUUGAAAGAGCGUUUCCCUUCGGGGCGCGAAACUAGGUGCUGCAUGGUUGUCGUCAGCUCGUGCCGUGAGGUGUCGGGUUAAGUCCCAUAACGAGCGCAACCCCUACUGUUAGUUGCCAUCAGGUGAUGCUGGGCACUCUAGCGGGACUGCCGGUGUAAGCCGAGAGGAAGGUGGGGAUGACGUCAAAUCAGCACGGCCCUUACGUCCGGGGCCACACACGUGUUACAAUGGUAGGUACAGAGGGCAGCUACCCUGCGAAGGGGUGCGAAUCUCGAAAGCCUAUCUCAGUUCGGAUUGGAGGCUGAAACCCGCCUCCAUGAAGUUGGAUUCGCUAGUAAUCGCGCAUCAGCCACGGCGCGGUGAAUACGUUCCCGGGCCUUGCACACACCGCCCGUCAAG